rnacentral:lncRNA from 1 species
UCCCCGCCCCCGCUGUCCCCAUCGCUGCCCGGGCUCUUCGCUUUUUUUUUCUUUCUUCCUUUUUUUGACGUCCCCGUGAUGUCCCCACGGCGAUUUCGGUCCCCACGACGUCCCCACGCCGCCCGCGACGGCCCCGUGACGCCCGUGGUACCCGCGACGUCCCCGUGUCCCCAAAUUGUCCCCGUGUCCCCUCGUUGUCCCCGUGUCCCCUCGGUGUCCCCAUGUCCCUCCCACAUCUUGGCGCCCCCCCGGUGUCCCCGUGUCCCCCCCGGUGUCCCCGUGUCCCCACCUUGUCCCCGUGUCCCCGUGACCCCUCAUUGUCCCCACGUCUUGGUGUCCCCGUGUCCCUCCCACACCUCGGCGCCCCCCCCGGUGUCCCUGCGUCCCUCCCGCGUCUCGGUGUCCCC